UACGUAGGGGACAAGCGUUGUCCGGAAUGACUGGGCGUAAAGGGCGCGUAGGCGGUCUGAUAAGUCAGAUGUGAAAGGUACCGGCUCAACCGGUGACGUGCAUUUGAAACUGUCAGACUUGAGUAUUGGAGAGGCAAGUGGAAUUCCUAGUGUAGCGGUGAAAUGCGUAGAUAUUAGGAGGAACACCAGUGGCGAAGGCGGCUUGCUGGACAAAUACUGACGCUGAGGUGCGAAAGCGUGGGGAGCGAACAGG
rnacentral:rRNA from 1 species